rnacentral:rRNA from 1 species
AUUGAACGCUGGCGGCAUGCUUUACACAUGCAAGUCGAACGGUAACAGGCCGCCAGGUGCUGACGAGUGGCGAACGGGUGAGUAAUGCAUCGGAACGUGCCCAGUCGUGGGGGAUAACUACUCGAAAGAGUAGAUAAUACCGCAUACGAUCUAUGGAUGAAAGCGGGGGACCGUAAGGCCUCGCGCGAUUGGAGCGGCCGAUGUCAGAUUAGGUAGUUGGUGGGGUAAAGGCUCACCAAGCCAACGAUCUGUAGCUGGUCUGAGAGGACGGCCAGCCACACUGGGACUGAGACACGGCCCAGACUCCUACGGGAGGCAGCAGUGGGGAAUUUUGGACAAUGGGCGCAAGCCUGAUCCAGCAAUGCCGCGUGCAGGAAGAAGGCCUUCGGGUUGUAAACUGCUUUUGUACGGAACGAAACGGCUCUGGUUAAUACCCGGGGAUAAUGACGGUACCGUAAGAAUAAGCACCGGCUAACUACGUG